CCAAUGUUUACAGAGACGAGAUGACGGGUGACGUCACAUUUAGGGCUCCGCUCUGAUAAACACUUACUGGUGUGUAAAAAUACUAACUCUGCCAACUAGCCACUGUUAUUCGAAAACGUUAGCAAGUAAACAAUGUGGAAAUUAGAGUCAACUCGGCUGAUACUGUGCUGAAUUGCACACACUAACAACAUGCCGACAAGCUGUUGCGGUCCGGGAUUAUACGCAGCGUUAUAACAAGGAUUCAGGAGGUUAUUUCUAAAGGUUUACAAAGGAAAGUGACAGUAAACGAAAGCCUUCAUUUUCAUCCAGACUUACGAGUUGUCUGAUAUGAGGAAGGUGACGAUUUCUCCGUCAAGUGAACCGUCCGUCAGUCUUUGCUCUUUUUUUGCCAACCAGUUUACGUGCGGGAUUCCAGAAUCAGAACGAUAACAUUCAACGUGUCUAUUAAUAUGGCCAGCAACAUUUUACACCAGUUUUAGAAUGUUUUGCACUACAACAGAUGUUGAACACCAACAUGCUUGUGUAAAAUCAGCAUAGUAGGCCUACCAUAUUGAGCUAUGGACAGGUCACAGGGAAUGCAGGAAUUGGAUGUCCGGCUGGUGUUUUGAUCGCGAAGUUUUGCCUUCUUGGUGCCAAAAAAUCGGAAAAUACUUAUUUUCUGCGACACAUUGCACUUGAAACAAGCUUGACUUUUCGAAUUUUCCCGUCGCGCACACAGCAUUGUUCUGCGUUGUGCAUCACUACGUCAGCCUACACAGACAAUGUCCUAAAUAAAAUGAAAUGCUAAUAAAUAUAACAAAAAGGUUGGAUGUCAAUAAUUUCAUGAAUAAUCAUGUUGCAUGAUAAAAUUCUACAAAAAAAAAAUUAUUGAUUCGUUCAGAAAACGUUCUCACUUGCAGUUACAGCCAGGGGGGUGCUGCAGCACCCUAAGCACCCCCACUUCCCGCGUCCCUGGCCAUUUACAAAUAAAUUACAUGACUUGUAAUCCUUAUCCAAAACCAUAAAAUGAGGUGGUCAAUGAUCACUAUUGGGAUCAAAAGUGAUCACCCUAUGGAGGCUGAGAAAAAAAAGUUUCCAUUUAGGACUCACUUGAAACACCAGUUGUGUAAUACACAGGAACGCAACACAUGAAAAUGGCAACUGAAUUUCACUCUCCAACCAUUCUCUAAAGAGACGUUGACAGGCCCAGAGAGCCUGGAGCUCAUAGGCCAACAUACACAGUCUGCUUCAUGAAGUGUCAGAUUAUCAUCGUCAGACAAUAGACAUCAUUGAAACGGCUCCGUUGGUUCGAUUCCACAUCGAAAAAGCAAACUAAACAAAAUUGGUAGAAAGCAUGUUUAUUGAUGUCGCACACAAUUGUUCAAAUAUCAUCCAAAGCAUUUCAAGCCCUCAAAUUAAACUCAAAAACCAAGAUGACUGAAACAAAGCCAUUAUGAAAUAUAGUGGAGUGACCCAGGGACAAGAAAAGACUGGUUUGGGAUGGUUCACUUUUUAUUUAUUUUUUAAACCUGUUUAGGCAAGCGGGUUUAGGUUUCAUGCAAGCGGGUUUAGGUUUCAUGCAAGCGGGUUUAGGUUUCAUGCAAGCGGGUUUAGGUUUCAUGCAAGCGGGUUUAGGUUUCAUGCAAGCGGGUUUAGGUUUCAUGCAAGCGGGUUUAGGCAAGCGGGUUUAGGUUUCAUGCAAGCGGGUUUAGGUUUAGGCAAGCGGGUUUAGGUUUCAUGCAAGCGGGUUUAGGCAAGCGGGUUUAGGUUUCAGGCAAGCGGGUUUAGGCAAGCGACAAGUGAGUUUAGGCAAGCGAGUUUAGGUUUCAUGCAAGCAAUUUUAGGCAUUAGGAAAGCGAGUUUAGGCAUUAGGCAAGUGAGUUUCGGUUUUGUGUAAGCGAGUUUAGGCAAACGAGUUUAGGCAGGAGAGUUUAGAUAAUCGGUAAGCGAGUGAAGUUACUGCAUCUUUGCUUCCAGCCUCGUCCCUCUA